AUGGCGGAGUUCGCACUUGGGCUGACCAAGACGGCGGUGGAGGGGACGCUGAUCAGGGUCAAGUCGGCGAUAGAGGAGGAGGCCAAGCUGAAGGUGAGGGUGCAGCACGACCUGGUGUUCAUCACAGGCGAAUUUCAAAUGAUGCAAUCGUUCCUCAACAUCGCUAACACCGAGCGUGCCAAGAAUGAAGUGGUGCAGACCUGGGUGAGGCAGAUCCGAGACCUUGCCUUUGAUGUCGAGGACUGCGUCGAGUUUGUUGUCCACCUCGACAACAGGUCCACCUGGUCCUGGCUGUGGCGUGUGCUGCCGUCCUGCAUGGCGCCGCCGCUGCCCCUUGACCUGGCGGUCGCUGAGAUAAAACAGCUCAAAGCCAGAGUCGAGGAUGUAAGCCAGAGGAACACGCGCUACAACCUCAUCACUGACUCGGGUUCCAGCUCCUCCAAGCCUGAAGUCUCACUUCCGGUGGUGGUGCCGCCGGCCACUACCGGCUCAGCUUUCCACAUCCUGAACGAGGUGUGGGACGCCAUGGGUAAGCGACGGGGCAUGGGCGACCUCACAACACUCAUCAUGAGUGAGGACACUGGCCUGCUAGUGAUCUCGGUAUGGGGAAGUAGUACCGGAGGUGCAGAUCUUGGGAAGACGUCCAUUUUCAGGAAGGCGUACUGUGAUCUUGAAAUCUGCAAAGAAUUCAAAAAUCGCGCUUGGGUAAAGCUGGUGGAUCCAUUUGACCCCGACGAGUUCCUCAAGAACGUGUUGGCUCAGUUCUUCCCGACAUCUCACCAACCAAAUAAUGCAGAUCAUGUAGACUUCCGCAAAAUGAUGAAGGAGGCGGUGGUUAAGGAAGACAAUCUCAUGAAGGCCGAGCUCAUGCAGCAAGUAAGCGAUGAGCAACGGUAUCUCAUCAUUAUAGAGGAACUAUCUGAUGUGGUACAGUGGGAUGCCAUCAAAAUGUGCCUGCCAGAAAGCAACAAUGGCAGCCGAAUCGUCGUGGCAACACAUGACUUGCGGAUUGCACUUUUGUGCACGGGGAAGCCGUACCAAGUAUGGGACCUCAAACACUUCUCUGAUGGUCAAUCUCUCUGUGCCUUCUCCCUAAAGACACCUGAAUCCGUUGAAGGCAAGCAUUCUUGCAGCAGUGGCAGAACAGAAGAGCUUCACGACCGGGUCGAGAAGUAUCAUGUUUACCGUGGAAUCGAUGAACAUAAAUGCCUUAUGGGAUGUUUAGGAAAUUCUGGUGUGACUUCUAUGUGGGGGAUUGCUGGUGUUGGAAAAACACAUUUCGCCCGGCUUGGAUAUGACGAGAUGCGUCAUAGCUCGAAAUUUAUGAAGUACAUCUGGGUCGACAUGCCAUAUCCGUUCAGUCUGACUGAGUUCUCCAUACACUUACUUUCCGAUUUCCACUCGUAUGAUCUUGAAGCCAAAGAAUCUGCAGCAAUCGGUGUAAUUGAAGGCCAAGAUCCAAUCCAAGAGUGUUGUAAGAUUUUACGUGAAGAAAAGUGCUUCCUUGUUAUAGAUGGUGUACGGUCCACGUAUGACUGGGACUUGAUAAAAGGCGCCUUCCUAACCGACCCUACUCAGAAUAACAAUACCAUCGUGGUCAUUACAAAUGAAGCAAGUAUCGCCAUGCAUUGCACACCUGAGAAAGAUAAAGUCAUAAACAUAAAAUGUUUUAACGCCGGCAAAGCCCGUAUGCUCUUCACGAAGGUAAACUGUGAGCGCAUUCUAUUGACUCCCGAGUUGACGAAGGUUUCAAACAUUAUCGUAACCAAGUGUGGCGGGCUUCCGAAAGUAGUACUAGCUGCUGCUAGCAAAUGCUUCAUACCGAUCUCCAGAUAUGAUGUACUAGAUCACAUGGAGCAUAUGAAAGCUGAUUUUAUGGAUAUUUUGGAGACUGAUCCUACCCUGAACAGUUUAUUUUCUUGGAUGCGGUCAUAUUUUGAUGCUUGCUCGGAUUCAGUCAAGCCAUGUAUCUUCUAUCUGUCAGUCUUUCCUGCAGACCAGGAUGUCAGAAGGAGGCGUCUGCUGAGGCGUUGGAUCGCAGAGGGUUACUCGAGGGACAAAUUUGGUAACACCGCGGAGGAGUACGGGGAAAUUUUGUUCUCCGAGCUUGUCAAGUUGAGCAUAAUCCAUCAGGAAGAAAAUAAGGUCUUGUGCCAAGUCAAUGGUUUCUUCCGUGAAUACAUCAUCUCACGUCCAAUGGAAGAGAACCUUGUAUUUGCAUUGGAGGGACGUUGUAGCCCGAACUCGCAACACACAGGACAACACCUUGUGGUAAGGAGCAGCUGGGACAGGGACAUAACUGUGUUUGAGAGCAUUGAUUUCUCGAGGCUACGGUCUUUGACAGUGUUUGGGGCAUGGAAGUCAUUCUUCAUCUCUACCAAUAUGAGACUGCUACGGGUGCUUGAUCUGGAAAACACGUCAGAUCUAACAGAUGAUGAUAUCAACAAGAUUGAUAAGCUACCACCUCGCCUCAAAUUCCUCUCACUACGAGGAUGCACAAAUGUCAGCCGUCUGCCCAUCUUGUUGGGUGGCCUCAGGCAGCUGCAGACACUUGAUGUCAGGUACACCUCUAUAGUCACACUACCACCAUUUAUCAUCAAGCUGCAAAAGCUACAAUACAUUCGCGCCGGCACUAAGGAUAUGGUGGAGGAAGUAGCACUGGGAGGAGAUGAUGAUUCAUCAACAUCAACAGUGCCACCUGAAGUCGACGGUAUUGGCACGGUCACAAUCAACAACCCACCAACAUCAGCAGGUGUGAUCGAGAUAUCAACAUCGUCAUCCAAGAGGAGGCCUGCACGUACUUUGGUAUCAAGCUGGUUAUCCAAGUUGCGCAGGCGAAAACUUCAUAAUGGCGGUGUUGAGAUCCCUGUAGGUAUCGAGAAAUUGACGGCCUUGCAUAACCUUGGUGUUGUGAGAGUGAAAGGUGCACAUGGGAAGGCCAUCCUGGAGGAGCUCAAGAAGCUAACCCAACUGCGCAAGCUUGGGGUGUCCGGCAUCAACCGUGAUAACUGGCAAGAGUUGUGUUGUGCCAUCUCGGGCCACGGCCAUCUAGAGUCCUUGUCGGUGCAACUCGGCGAGGAUGAGGAGGAGGCCGGUGACUUCUUAGUGUGUUUACCCAAGACCUUAAACUUAAAGAGCCUUAAGAUUUUAGGGGGGCAAUGUCAAAUACCAGCCUGGGUGAAGCAACAGGACAAUUUCAAAAAAAUUGAAAAUUUUGAUCUUGAAUUGACCGUAUCGACGCAAGCCCACAUGGACUUGAUUGAAGAAUUGCCAUGCAAGAAGUUCCGUCGUCUUCGUGUCAAGCCAACUCAAGACGGCGAGCUCCAUUUUGGUAACCCAGCAUUAUAUGGUGAGUGGGAUGCGUUCGUGCCCUUCACCGAGCCACUUGACUUCAAGGUCAUCAAGAUUGAUUGCCGCUACAGGUUAGAGGUAACUUUUGCUCCUUGGUUGCCAUUAUAUGUCAAGUCGCUCAAGGUUCAGUGCUCUAGUGGAUCGUCUCUUCGUCUCUCGGGCCUACAUCGUCUAUGGGGCCUUAAAGAAGUAUGGCUUACGGGUUCAUACGGCGACGAGCUGAAGCAAGAGUUGCAGCAGGAAAUUGCUGUGCAUCAACACAAACCUGUCCUGAAGCUGGAGAAACAACGUUCGUGA
rnacentral:rRNA from 1 species